AGAAGACGAGAGGUCGUUGAACAGAGGCCCAUGAUAGAGGAAAUCAAAACUGGUGACCCGCCCGGUUUCAGCAGAGUGAAGUACUAUCUAUCAAUAAAGUACUAUCUAAUUAAUGAGGAGUUCUUGCAAAUCACUACAAAGCCACUGCAGUCAAAGUUUAUAAACAUCUGGACCACAUUUCACUCAAGCUGAUGCAGAACCUCAAAAGCAAAGUGUGACGACACUGACAUCAGGAAGGAGAGCAUCCUGAGAAGCCUUGUUAUCCGUCUCAAUGAAGACCCAGACACUUUCUUCAAGGAAUAUCUAGCCUCCGCCACUGAGGAUGCAGAAAGGGACAUUGCCCUCACAGUCAUGGGGAUAUACAGUACAUAAUCCGUGGAGAUGGCGAUAGGGAGCCAGAGGAUGUUGGAGUUGUUAUCGAAGGCAUCAAAGUCCUGAGCAACGUGGACAUUGUCAUCAUGGGGAUUAUAAUGAUGUUUGGUCUCAAUUAUGCUCUCGAUCUAAGGUUUCCAGACAACCUCAAGUACACAUUCGAGUUUUUCCAGAAGAUCCUAAUGAACUUGGAUGGUCACAAACUGAACACAAAGAUACAGCAGCUGAAAAUCAAGUUGUUUGCAUGGGAGGUGAACACUUGUUGAUGAAGUUCAUCAUCGGAUCUUUGACAUCUUGUGGUAAAGUAAAAAUAAUCACCAUCGA